AUGGUACUUCCUCCGUUCAGAAAUACUUGUCAUCAAAAUAAAUAAAAGGGGAUGUAUCUAGAUAUAUUUUAGUUUUAGAUACAUCCCUUUUUAUCCAUUUUGAUGACAAGUAUUUUCGGACGGAGGGAGUACAUG
rfam:Triticum aestivum genome assembly, contig: Triticum_aestivum_CS42_TGACv1_scaffold_404430_5BL